GACGAACGCUGGCGGCGUGCUUAACACAUGCAAGUCGAACGGAAAGGCCCUGCUCUUGUGGGGUGCUCGAGUGGCGAACGGGGGAGUAACACGUGAGUAACCUGCCCUUUACUUUGGGAGAACUUCAGGAAACUGGGGUGAAUACCGGAUAUGAACUCCUUCUGCAUGGUGUUGGUGGGAAAGUUUCGGCGGUUGGGGAUGGACUCGCGGCUUAUCAGCUUGUUGGUGGGGUAGUGGCGUACCAAGGCUUUGACGGGUAGCCGGCCUGAGAGGGUGACCGGCCACAUUGGGCCUGAGAUACGGCCCAGACUGCUACGGGAGGCAGCAGUGGGGAAUAUUGCACAAUGGGCGGAAGCCUGAUGCAGCAACGCCGCGUGCGGGAUGACGGCUUUCGGGUUGUAAACCGCUUUCGCCUGUGACGAAGCGUGAGUGACGGUAAUGGGUAAAGAAGCACCGGCUAACUACGUG
rnacentral:rRNA from 1 species